rnacentral:rRNA from 1 species
AUGGUAGGAUAGAGGCCUACCAUGGUGGUAACGGGUAACGGGGUGUUAGGGCACGACACNGGAGAGGGAGCCUGAGAAACGGCUACCACAUCCAAGGAAGGCAGCAGGCGCGCAAAUUACCCAAUCCCGACACGGGGAGGUAGUGACAAUAAAUAACAAUACAGGGUUCUUUGAAUCUUGUAAUUGGAAUGAGUACAAUUUAAAUCUCUUAACGAGGAACAAUUGGAGGGCAAGUCUGGUGCCAGCAGCCGCGGUAAUUCCAGCUCCAAUAGCGUAUAUUAAAGUUGUUGCAGUUAAAAAGCUCGUAGUUGAAUUUCGGGAUCAAUACGUCGGUCGUGCUUUNGGGUACGUACCGGCGUCAUUGGUUUCUCCUUUCUGACGAACCAUGAUGUCAUUAAUUUGGUGUUAUGGGGAGUUAGGACUGUUACUUUGAAAAAAUUAGAGUGUUUAAAGCAGGCAUUAGCUUGAAUACAUUAGCAUGGAAUAAUGAAAUAGGACGUUCGAUCCUAUUUUGUUGGUUUCUAGGAUCAACGUAAUGAUUAAUAGGGAUAGUUGGGGGCAUUAGUAUUCAAUUGUCAGAGGUGAAAUUCUUGGAUUUAUUGAAGACUAACUACUGCGAAAGCAUUUGCCAAGGAUGUUUUCAUUAAUCAAGAACGAAAGUUAGGGGAUCGAAGACGAUCAGAUACCGUCGUAGUCUUAACCAUAAACUAUGCCGACUAGGGAUCGGAUGAUGUUAAUUUUUUAAUGACUCAUUCGGCGCCUUA